rnacentral:rRNA from 1 species
GACGAACGCUGGCGGCGUGCUUAACACAUGCAAGUCGAACGGAAAGGCCCUGCUUUUGUGGGGUGCUCGAGUGGCGAACGGGUGAGUAACACGUGAGUAACCUGCCCUUGACUUUGGGAUAACUUCAGGAAACUGGGGCUAAUACCGGAUAGGAGCUCCUGCUGCAUGGUGGGGGUUGGAAAGUUUCGGCGGUUGGGGAUGGACUCGCGGCUUAUCAGCUUGUUGGUGGGGUAGUGGCUUACCAAGGCUUUGACGGGUAGCCGGCCUGAGAGGGUGACCGGCCACAGUGGGACUGAGAUACGGCCCAGGCUCCUACGGGAGGCAGCAGUGGGGAUUAUUGCACAAUGGGCGGAAGCCGGAUGCAGCAACGCCGCGUGCGGGAUGACGGCCUUCGGGUGGUAAACCGCUUUCGCCUGUGACGAAGCGUGAGUGACGGUAAUGGGUAAAGAAGCACCGGCUAACUACGUG